GUCCACGCCUUAAACUAUGAAUACUAAGUGUCGGCGGGUUACCGCCGGUGCCGCAGCUAACGCAUUAAGUAUUCCGCCUGGGGAAGUACGGCCGCAAAGGUUGAAACUACAAAGGAAAUUGACUGGGGCCCGGCACAAGCGGUGGAGCAUGUGGUUUAAUUCGACGCAACGCGAAGAACCUUACCCAGGCUGGACAUGCAGGUAGUAGAAGGGUGAAAGCCCAACGAGGUAGCAAUACCAUCCUGCUCAGGUGCUGCAUGGCUGUCGU
rnacentral:rRNA from 1 species